ACUCCUACGGGUGGCUGCAGCAGGGAAUCUUGCGCAAUGGGCGAAAGCCUGACGCAGCGACACCGCGUGGGGGAUGAAGGCUUUCGAGUUGUAAACCCCUUUUCCCGGGGAUGAGAAAGGACAGUACCCGGGGAAUAAGGUUCGGCUAACUACGUGCCAGCAGCCGCGGUAAUACGUAGGAACCGAGCGUUGUCCGGAUUUACUGGGCGUAAAGUGCGCGUAGGCGGUCCGUUAAGUCUCAUGUGAAAUCUCCCGGCUCAACUGGGAGGGGUCAUGGGAUACUGGCAGACUGGAGUGCAGUAGAGGAAAGCGGAAUUCCCGGAGUAGUGGUGGAAUGCGUAGAUACCGGGAGGAACACCAGAGGCGAAGGCGGCUUUCUGGGCUGUAACUGACGCUGAGGCGCGAAAGCGAGGGUAGCAAACCGGAUUAGAUACCCGGGUAGUCCACGCCCUAAACGAUGGAUACUAGGCAUGGGGGGUAUCGACCCCCUCCGUGCCGCAGCUAACGCAAUAAGUAUCCCGCCUGAGGAGUACGGCCGCAAGGCUAAAACUCAAAGGAAUUGACGGGGACCCGCACAAGCAGCGGAUCGUGUGGUUUAAUUCGAUGAUAAGCGAAGAACCUUACCAGGGCUUGAAAUGCUUCUGACCGGCUGUGAAAGCAGCCUUUCCUUCGGGACAGUUGCACAGAUGUUGCAUGGCUGUCGUCAGCUCGUGCCGUGAGAU
rnacentral:rRNA from 2 species